rnacentral:rRNA from 1 species
UAAGGAGGGGGCUAGCGUUGUUCGGAAUUACUGGGCGUAAAGCGCACGUAGGCGGACUGGAAAGUCAGGGGUGAAAUCCCGGGCCUCAACCCCGGAACUGCCUUUGACACUCCCAGUCUUGAGGUCGAGAGAGGUGAGUGGAAUUCCGAGUGUAGAGGUGAAAUUCGUGGAGAUUCGGAGGAACACCAGUGGCGAAGGCGGCUCACUGGCUCGAUUCUGACGAUGAGGUGCGAAAGCGUGGGGAGCAAACAGG